GGCCUCCUGGUGCUUACCACAGGCUGUGUUCUUACACUGAGUGUGUAAAAAGAGGAGGAAAAGUAAACUUACCCCAUAUAUGCCUCAGCCCAGGCCCUGUGCCUGUUCUGUAUUGUGAAUGAGGAGACACAG
rnacentral:snoRNA from 1 species